rnacentral:lncRNA from 1 species
AUAGAUAUAAAGAUAGAUAUUAAAUCGAAAUAAAAAUAGAUAUUAAGUUUAAGUUUCAAAUUUAUAUUAAAUAUUAAAAUCAUAUGUAGUCUUUCGAAAUAAAGUUCAAGAGCAAUGAGAUAAUGAAUAAUUCCGAUUACGUUUCUAGCUUAUUCUUAUUUCGAUUUCGAUUUCGAUUUCAAAACAAACACACCCUAUAAAGUCUUACUACUCCUUAAAUAUAUUGUUGUUACUAUCGCUAGUAAUAGAUAGCCAGUGAACCCAACAAACUCUUUUUUUUAUUAUCAGAGAUCGAAUUUUUUUUUGCCAAAUUUAAAACUUGACCUCCCCCAACCUUAAUUUCUUACAUCGUCCCUAUCAAGAUUCUUAGCGGAUACUAAUAGUAAAAAUAUUCUUGAAUAAUAGAAAAAUAUACGCGAAAUCUAUUUGAAAAAA